rnacentral:rRNA from 1 species
UUGAAGAGUUUGAUCAUGGCUCAGAUUGAACGCUGGCGGCAGGCCUAACACAUGCAAGUCGAGCGGUAGCACAGAGAGCUUGCUCUCGGGUGACGAGCGGCGGACGGGUGAGUAAUGUCUGGGAAACUGCCUGAUGGAGGGGGAUAACUACUGGAAACGGUAGCUAAUACCGCAUAAUGUCGCAAGACCAAAGUGGGGGACCUUCGGGCCUCAUGCCAUCAGAUGUGCCCAGAUGGGAUUAGCUAGUAGGUGGGGUAACGGCUCACCUAGGCGACGAUCCCUAGCUGGUCUGAGAGGAUGACCAGCCACACUGGAACUGAGACACGGUCCAGACUCCUACGGGAGGCAGCAGUGGGGAAUAUUGCACAAUGGGCGCAAGCCUGAUGCAGCCAUGCCGCGUGUGUGAAGAAGGCCUUCGGGUUGUAAAGCACUUUCAGCGGGGAGGAAGGCGGUGAGGUUAAUAACCUCAUCGAUUGACGUUACCCGCAGAAGAAGCACCGGCUAACUCCGUGCCAGCAGCCGCGGUAAUACGGAGGGUGCAAGCGUUAAUCGGAAUUACUGGGCGUAAAGCGCACGCAGGCGGUCUGUCAAGUCGGAUGUGAAAUCCCCGGGCUCAACCUGGGAACUGCAUUCGAAACUGGCAGGCUAGAGUCUUGUAGAGGGGGGUAGAAUUCCAGGUGUAGCGGUGAAAUGCGUAGAGAUCUGGAGGAAUACCGGUGGCGAAGGCGGCCCCCUGGACAAAGACUGACGCUCAGGUGCGAAAGCGUGGGGAGCAAACAGGAUUAGAUACCCUGGUAGUCCACGCCGUAAACGAUGUCGAUUUGGAGGUUGUGCCCUUGAGGCGUGGCUUCCGGAGCUAACGCGUUAAAUCGACCGCCUGGGGAGUACGGCCGCAAGGUUAAAACUCAAAUGAAUUGACGGGGGCCCGCACAAGCGGUGGAGCAUGUGGUUUAAUUCGAUGCAACGCGAAGAACCUUACCUGGUCUUGACAUCCACAGAACUUUCCAGAGAUGGAUUGGUGCCUUCGGGAACUGUGAGACAGGUGCUGCAUGGCUGUCGUCAGCUCGUGUUGUGAAAUGUUGGGUUAAGUCCCGCAACGAGCGCAACCCUUAUCCUUUGUUGCCAGCGGUCCGGCCGGAACUCAAAGGAGACUGCCAGUGAUAAACUGGAGGAAGGUGGGGAUGACGUCAAGUCAUCAUCGGGCUACACACGUGCUACAAUGGCAUAUACAGCGACCUCGCGAGAGCAAGCGGACCUCAUAAAGUAUGUCGUAGUCCGGAUUGAGUCUGCAACUCGACUCCAUGAAGUCGGAAUCGCUAGUAAUCGUAGAUCAGAAUGCUACGGUGAAUACGUUCCCGGGCCUUGUACACCGCCCGUCACACCAUGGGAGUGGGUUGCAAAGAAGUAGGUAGCUUAACCUUCGGGAGGCGCUUACCACUUUGUGAUUCAUGACUGGGGUGAAGUCGUAACAAGGUAACCGUAGGGGAACCUGCGGUUGGAUCACCUCCUU